GACGAACCGUGCGAACGUUAUUCGGAAUCACUGGGCUUAAAAGCGCGUGUAGGCGGGGGUGGCACGUCGGUCGCUGAAAAGCCCCCCGGCUCAACCGGGGAAGGGGCGCCGAUACGACCACCCUGGAGGGACGUAGGGGGGACCUGGAACUUCCGGUGGAGCGGUGAAAUGCGUUGAGAUGGAAGGAACGCCCCGUGGCGAAAAGCGA
rnacentral:rRNA from 1 species